rnacentral:tRNA from 1 species
UCCCAGGUAGCUUAAUGAUAAAGCACUCAACCUGCAAUUAGGGGAUCUGGGUUCAAGUCCCGGUCCGGGCU